UUUUAUUUGAGAGUUUGAUCCUGGCUCAGGAUGAACGCUGGCGGCGUGCCUAACACAUGCAAGUUGAGCGAUUUACUUCGGUAAAGAGCGGCGGACGGGUGAGUAACUGGGUGGGAAACCUCCCCGU
rnacentral:rRNA from 1 species